rnacentral:rRNA from 1 species
UACGAAGGGGGCUAGCGUUGCUCGGAAUCACUGGGCGUAAAGGGUGCGUAGGCGGGUCUUUAAGUCAGGGGUGAAAUCCUGGAGCUCAACUCCAGAACUGCCUUUGAUACUGGCGAUCUUGAGUCCGGGAGAGGUGAGUGGAACUGCGAGUGUAGAGGUGAAAUUCGUAGAUAUUCGCAAGAACACCAGUGGCGAAGGCGGCUCACUGGCCCGGUACUGACGCUGAGGCGCGAAGGCGUGGGGAGCGAACGGG